GCUAAACGCGAAGAACCUUACCUACCCUUGACAUCCUGCGAACCCUGGUGAGAGCUAGGGGUGCCGAAAGGAGCGCAGAGACAGGUGCUGCAUGGCUGUCGUCAGCUCGUGUUGUGAGAUGUUGGGUUAAGUCCCGUAACGAGCGCAACCCUUGUCCUUAGUUGCCAGCAAGUAAAGUUGGGGACUCUAAGGAGACUGCCGGUGAGGAACCGGAGGAAGGCGGGGACGACGUCAAGUCAUCAUGGCCUUUAUGGGCAGGGCUACACACGUGCUACAAUGGCAAGUACAGAGGGAAGCCAACCCGCGAGGGGGAGCCAAUCCCAGAAAGCUUGUCUUAGUCCGGAUUGCAGUCUGCAACUCGACUGCAUGAAGUUGGAAUCGCUAGUAAUCGCAGAUCAGCAUUGCUGCGGUGAAUACGUUCCCGGGUCUUGUACACACCG
rnacentral:rRNA from 1 species